rnacentral:rRNA from 1 species
AUUGAACGCUGGCGGCAGGCCUAACACAUGCAAGUCGAGCGAGCGGCGGACGGGUGAGUAAUGUCUGGGAAACUGCCUGAUGGAGGGGGAUAACUACUGGAAACGGUAGCUAAUACCGCAUACCAUCAGAUGUGCCCAGAUGGGAUUAGCUAGUAGGGGGGGUAACGGCUAACCUAGGCGACGAUCCCUAGCUGGUCUGAGAGGAUGACCAGACAGACUGGAACGUAGAGACGGUCCAGACGCCUACGGGAGGCAGCAGUGGGGAAGAUUGCACAAUGGGCGCAAGCCUGAUGCAGCCAGGCCGCGUGGAUGAUGAAGGCGUUCGGGUUGUAAAGCACGUUCAGCGGGGAGGCGUUACCCGCAGAAGAAGCACCGGCUAACUCCGUGCCAGCAGCCGCGGUAAUAC